rnacentral:rRNA from 1 species
GACGAACGCUGGCGGGGGGAGGAAAAAAGGCAAGUCGAACGGUGAAGCCUGGUGCUUGCAGUGGGCGGAUGAGUCGAGCACGGGUGGGAAAUAUGUGUGUAAUCUGCUCUUGAUUCGGGGAUAAGCAUGGGAAACUGGCUAUAAUACUGGAUAUGACACGCCACCGCAUGGUGGUGUGUGGCAAGGCUUCUACUGGUUAUGGAUGGGCUCACGGUCUACCGGUUUGUUGGUGGGGUAAUGGCCUACCAAGGCGACGACCGUUAGCCGGCCUGAGAGGGUGACCGGCCACACUGGGACUGAGACACGGCCCAGACUCCUACGGGAGGCAGCAGUGGGGAAUAUUGCACAAUGGGCGGAAGCCUGAUGCAGCGACGCCGCGUGAGGGAUGCCGGCCUUCGGGUUGUAAACCUCUUUCGGCACGGAAGAAGCGAGAGUGACGGUACGUGCUGAAGAAGCACCGGCUCCCUACGUU